CCUCUAUGGUGCACCAGGGUGGGCGUGUGGAACUAGGGUCGUAGCAGAGAUGAAAGGGGGCAGCACUCAAAAGUUCUCCGAUGAAAAACUUUUGUAGAAUAUUUUUCUCACAUAUUCUGUGCCUUAUAAAUAAUCCCCUAUUUCAUCCAAUGCCCCAACCCCUUUAUCCUAUCCAUCUAUGGUUCAAAUUCAAAUAUAAAUCAAAUUUAAACUUAAAUUGAUGGAUAAGGAUAAGAUAUGAUAGAUAAAGA
rnacentral:lncRNA from 1 species